AGUAUGUGUGUACUGUAUGCGCACCAUCUGAUUUUUGUAACCGCACAUAUUUUGGAUGCACAGGUUGCACAUGCGCAUUGACUUGGUUUU